rnacentral:rRNA from 1 species
GAUGAACGCUGGCGGCGUGCCUAAUACAUGCAAGUCGAGCGAACGGACGAGAAGCUUGCUUCUCUGAUGUUAGCGGCGGACGGGUGAGUAACACGUGGAUAACCUACCUAUAAGACUGGGAUAACUUCGGGAAACCGGAGCUAAUACCGGAUAAUAUUUUGAACCGCAUGGUUCAAUAGUGAAAGACGGUCUUUCUGUCACUUAUAGAUGGAUCCGCGCUGCAUUAGCUAGUUGGUAAGGUAACGGCUUACCAAGGCAACGAUGCAUAGCCGACCUGAGAGGGUGAUAGGCCACACUGGAACGGAGACACGGUCCAGGCUCCUGCGGGAGGCAGCAGUAGGGAAUCGUCCGCAAUGGGCGAAAGCCUGACGGAGCGACGCCGCGUGAGUGAUGAAGGUCUUCGGAUCGUAAAACUCUGUUAUUAGGGAAGAACAUAUGUGUAAUUAACUGUGCACAUCUUGACGGUACCUAAUCAGAAAGCAACGGCUAACUACGUG